rfam:Myotis davidii contig86795, whole genome shotgun sequence.
GCCUGUGUGGCUCAGUGGAUAGAGCAUCGGCCUGGGGACCAAAGGGUCCUGGGUUCGAUUCCUGUCAAGGGCA